UACGGGGGGGGCAAGCGUUGUUCGGAAUUACUGGGCGUAAAGGGCUCGUAGGCGGCCAACUAAGUCAGACGUGAAAUCCCUCAGCUUAACUGGGGAACUGCGUCUGAUACUGGACGGCUUGAGUUUGGGAGAGGGAUGCGGAAUUCCAGGUGUAGCGGUGAAAUGCGUAGAUAUCUGGAGGAACACCGGUGGCGAAGGCGGCAUCCUGGACCAACACUGACACUGAGGAGCGAAAGCCAGGGGAGCAAACGGG
rnacentral:rRNA from 1 species